GAGGAACGUCUCGGUGAAGAUACU
rnacentral:siRNA from 1 species